CCAUAAGUCAUGCUUUGUAUUUCUUCACUUCACCUUGCGCAUUCUUCUUGACUUUGUAACCCACUUUACUCCAAUUGGUUCAAGCCCUUUUGGUAGAGAAGUGAGCUCCCAUGUCUCAUUCUUCUCUAUGAUUUUUAUCUUCUCAUUCAUAGCUUUCCUCCACUUUCCAUCUUUGAUAGCAUCUUCAAAAGAAAUUAUUUCUUCAUUAGCAAAA
rnacentral:lncRNA from 1 species